CGGUUUGUUUGCCUUUCCACGCGCGGCAAAUGCACAAAAGUACUUUUAAACUUAAUGCCGCCGACUUUAUGCAAGUUUGGCUCAUUGCGAUUUGGCGAGGC
rnacentral:sRNA from 1 species